GCAGAGACCUGCAAGAGAGAUCGGAGUCAGACAUUCCCCGUGGCCGGUCCACGGCAGACAUGUCCUCCAUAUUCAAGUUGGUUGAAGACCAAGUCAUCACAUUUGUAAAGAGUGAAUUAAAGAAGUUCAAGAAGAUUCAGAGUCCAGAUCACCCAGAAUGCUCUAACAGUCAGGGGAAGGGUGGUGGUGUACGGUGAAGAUGAGAACCAGGAGAGCAGUGCCAGAGAGGGGGCUCUGAAGAUCACACUGCACAUUCUGAGGAACAUGAACCAGAAAGAGCUCACUGACACACUGGAGAACAAUCUUUUAGGUGAGCUUGCUGUGUGUCAACCUAAACUCAACUUUAAAAAAAGGAAGUUUGAAUGUGUGUUUGAAGGAAUGGCUACACAAGGAAACCCAACACUUCUCAAUCAGAUCUACACCGAGCUCUACAUUCACAGAGGGUGGAAGUGGAGAGGUCAAUUAUGAACAUGAGGUGAAACAGAUUAAGACAGCAUCCAGGAGAUCAGCAAUACAAGAGACACCGUUCAAAAUGCAAUGACAUCUUUGAACCCUUACCUGAGCAAGACAAACUAACAGAACUGUCCUGACAAAGGGAGUUGCUGGCAUUGGCAGAAGUUAAUUCUGGACUGGGCUGAAGGAAAAGCCAAUCAAGAUAUCCAGUUGUUAUUUUCACUUCCUUUUCAAGAGCUGAUUUUAAAAAAAAUGGAAAUAAGAGUCCGCAACCUCAGACUUCAACAACUAUAAUGUGCUGUUUGGUCUGGGUGACUGUCGACUUCCCCUUGACUUCCAGAACAACGAGUCCUGGUGUGAUGUUUCAAAGUCAACCUCAGUGGAAGUGCUGCUGACAAACCUCAUUCAGGGGAAUCUGCUUCCCUAUGCUCACAUCUGGAUAACCUCCUGACCAGCAGCUGCUAGUCACUUUGAAUUUGUAUACCUGAGUUUUUCCCAGUGUACAUUGUGGAUCCUCCAGUAUGGCAGAGAGCAGCUUCACCCCUGAGUCUCCUGGGUGAUUGUAGCUCAGGUCCAGCUUUCUCACAUGAAGGUUUGGACCGCAGCGCUUCAGCUAGAGAAGCACAGCCUUCCUUUGCGACUCCACAGAAGGACAAACUGCAAAUAAUAUGAAUUUCACUCUAAGUAGUUGGUUGGAAGUAGGCUAGAGUGUGAUCCGCCUCGAUCCACGUUGAGUGAAAAUCUAGUAACAAACCGUUUGAUGCUUAAAAUGUGAGUUUACUUUAGUAAUUUUAAUAUCAUAAACUGAUUUUACUAACCUGAGUGUCUGCAGUUUAGACCCUCCAGUCCAGCAAAGCAGCUUCACUCCUGAAUUCUGGUAUGCAAUAUGUAUAUGAUCAUAAUUGAUUGUUGCCUGGCCUUUGUACUGUAUGGGAAGACCUCAAUUGAAUAAUCCUCUCGUGUCGUUCUCAAAGCCCAUAUGAUGAGAAAGCCAGAAGUUUCUCCCCUCUGACCUCCUCGAAUGGGUUUUGAGGAGAUGAAGACGCAAGCAUUAUGCAAUUGAGAUCUUCCCUGUGUUUCUCAACCACUGUUGGGUGUUCUGCUUUUACAGUGUGAACCAUGAUGCAGAACGCUGGAUAAAAUCUGGCCUAAGAAAAUGUAACUUGAUUUCUCUUGAAAGUUGCAAACUCAAAUGAUUCAGUGAGAAUACUUGAAAAUGUUUAUUUGUUGGAUAGAAAGAUUAAAAGGACAGUAAUUAAAACAAAAUACUAAUAAUCGUGUCUUUCCAUUAGAAGCCUGUGAGCCAACACUGGACGCAAACACGGCACACAGAAAACUCUGUCAGAGGGGAACAUGGGGGAGAGAAGAGCAGCCGUAUCCUGAUCACCCAGAGAGAUGUGAGGGCUGUUGGCAGGUGCUGUGUAAAGAGGGUCUGAAUAGGCGCAGUUAUUGGGAGUCGGAUCGAAGAGGAAAUGGGAAUGACAGAGAAAAAUCGGCAGGAGUGGAGAGUUUGGGGACUGUUGGCUUGGACGUAAUGACAAGUCCUGGAGUUUGCGAUGCUUUGACAACAGUUACAUUGCCUUCCAAAAUGCUAGGAGUAUUGCUUUACCUGCUCCCUCGUCUUAUUCGAACAGAGUAGGAGUGUAUCUGGACUGGCUGGCACUCUGUCCUUCUACAGUGUCUCCUCUGGUACACUGACCCAUCUGCAUACAUUAUACUCCACAUUUUCUGACCCUCUUUACCCAGGGUUUAGGGUUGGGAAUGAUGACAGUGUGCCUGUGUCAGGUAGAGCAGCCUCCAAUUUGAAACUCAGGCCAGAAUUCCAUCUAGUUGAUUUUGGCAUUGCGGUGUUAGAAGUACGUUCACGUUCACGUUUUAGUGGAAGCCCUGGUAGGAUGUUGUUAGCCACACUCCCUUCUAUUUUUAUCUUGAUAAUUCAUUGCAGUCACGCAGAUUUUAAAUCUGUGACACACUGUGCAAAUCAAACAAUUUCGGUGACCUUAAAUAAAAUGGCAUUUAUUUUUCUACUCUGCUUCACCUACAAACAUUUUUGGUUUUGUUGAAUUUAGGAGUUAAGCAUCCUGAGUGAGAGAAUUUUUAUGUUUUAUCUGGAAUAAAAAUCUAAGAUGUGCCCAGAUCACAGCCUUAAACACCACUUGUAAAUUUAGGAAAUAUGUGUUGAACAUUAAUGUAGGCUAAUUGAGUUAUCACAUACUAUAGCCAGAUAUCUAGGCCAUUGAACUUCUGUUACCUGGUCUCAGAGCUACAAACCAUUUUAUGUAGUGAAAGUGUCUGGAUGAAAAAUGCUGUUGAGGAGAAUGUGACAGUUUUGGCUGAGAGACCACUGAAAAUGUUAUCCCGCUAGAUAGUGAUGCGAUAAAUACAUGUAAGUAACUACUACCGUCCUAAGAUGAGUGGCGGUUCUGACAUCAGCAGCACUAGCUAUUAUGCAUCCUCAUCGGAUAAAGAGUACUUCCCCUAAAUUUUGGUAGGAAAAAAAAAAAGUACUUUACUUGCCUAUAUGCUAUAGAGAGCGACAACAACAAAACAGUAUGGCAUUGCCCCAGAUAUUCUGUA